CGUCUACGGGAAUAUGUUUCAAGUUUGUAAAAUAAUGCGUGAAAUAAUACAUCAAGUCACAAAAAAUUGGGUAGAAUAUUUGAUAAGUUAUAAACGACAAAAAGAUAUGUGUAUACCUCGACGUCACGCAUGAGAUGAAAGGAGGUUGCGUUUUAAAAAUUAUCGAAACAAAUGAAUGUAUCUAGAAGGUUUCAUCAGCCCAUAUAUCAUAUAUUCGGCAUUUAUAUGAUUUUAUAAAAUACGUGUAUAAUUGUUAAUUUUUUUCAUAAAUGUGUACUUAGGAACUGAAACUAACGUUCAUAUUAGUAAUACUUUGGCACUGGCUACGGUUACAUGGAAAUGUAACAAUAAUAAAAAUAUUAUUGUUACAUUGGAGACUAAUUGCCGGAAUGCAAAGUUGGGUAAGGAACCGAUUAAUUACGAAUGUAACAAUAAUUAUUGAGGCUACGAUUACAUUGCGUUAUUGUUACAAGAAAAACAGCAAUGUACGCUAGAUUUAUUGAAACGAAACGAAACUGAAACAAUAUCGAGACACAAAUUUCAUACAGCUAUACAAAAUUAACGCACUUAUCAAAAAUUGAAACAUCAAAAGCAAAGUUUGCUAACUGUGAACUAACACUGUGAACUUCUGUUUACAUGUAUACAAUUGAGAAUGGAAAUGGGGAAGGUGUCAAAGCGACAACAACCCGAACAUAGAGCAGACAACAGCCGAAGGUCACCAAUGGGUCUUCAAUGUAGCGAGAAACUCCCGCACCCGUCGGAGGCGUCCUUCAGCUGGCCCCUAAACAAAUAUGUAUACUAGUUCAGUGAUUACGGACGUCAUACUAAACUCCGAUUUAUACACAAGAAACUACAUUAAAAAAUCCUACAAGACUAACAAAGGCCAUGCAAAGGCUCCUGACUUGAGAAAGGCACAACUUGAAUUGCGGCGGGGUUAAACAUGUUUAUGAGAUAUCAACCCUCCCCUAUACCUCUAGCCAAUGUAGAAAAAACAACGCAACGCACAACACUACGCAUAGUAAAACUCAGUUUAAGAGAUGUCCGAGUCCGAUUUCAGAAUCCAUGGAGGACGUACUAUAAAAAAAUCCAAAAAUUGUAUGUUAUACUUGUAUGUAUCGUAAAUAUAAGAUAAUGUCUUCAACUUUUAUUAUUUAGUACAUAUUACUAGUCCCAUCGAACAUUGCUGUUUUUCAUGUAACAAUAACACAAUGUAACCGUAGCCUCAAUAAUUAUUGUUACAUUCGUAAUUAAUCGGUUCCUUAUCCAACCAUGCAUUCCGGCAUUUAGUCCCCAAUGUAACAAUAAUAUUUUUAUUAUUGUUACAUUUCCAUGUAACCGUAGCCAGUGCCUAUUACUUUAGCGCGAGUUUGUCUCCUCGUCGUGUAUACAUUCCUGACUUUCAUAGAAAUGUGCUUCGGAAUAAAAAUUUAAAGUUAUCACCGGCAUACGAAUGGGGGUAAAUGGAACUCUUCAAAGCAUCGCACAUUCUCUGUAAUAAAUGCAGAGAUCUCUGUCUUCGCUUUCUACAUUGGAUUACGAUCACGGAACUUGAGAUCUCUCUGAAAUAAAAUUAGGUUGGUUCUUCAAAGUAAAACUAUAAUUUCGCAAGAAGACUUUUGGUUAACAACAAUAAAAUGGUAGCAAACUAACAAAGCUAUCAUAUCAAGUCAUAAAUGUUUCCAUCAAAAUAAAGCCAAUGAUAAGAACAGAUGGGUAUAGUUUUUUUUCAAGUGACAUGUCAAAUUUGGUUUAAAUAGUGCAAUGUGAAUUAAUUCCUCGAUGAAUCAAGUGUUCACUGAGAAUUCUAAAUGAUGAAAGCAUCCCUUCGAUCUUUGAAGUAUAAUAUUGACCAUAUGCUUCGACAAUGUUACGAACGACAUCACAAGUUGGUUGAUAGUAAUUUAAUAUCUGUUUCAGAUAUAUACAGUUUUGUUCCACUUGUCAUAACUGCAAUCCCAUCCUAUAGCUUUUCAUCAA
rnacentral:lncRNA from 1 species